AUACGUAGGGUGCAAGCGUUAAUCGGAAUUACUGGGCGUAAAGCGUGCGCAGGCGGUUUUGUAAGACAGAGGUGAAAUCCCCGGGCUCAACCUGGGAACUGCCUUUGUGACUGCAAGGCUAGAGUACGGCAGAGGGGGAUGGAAUUUCGCGUGUAGCAGUGAAAUGCGUAGAUAUGCGGAGGAACACCGAUGGCGAAGGCAAUCCCCUGGGCCUGUACUGACGCUCAUGCACGAAAGCGUGGGGAGCAAACAGGGUUAGAUACCCUGGUAGUCCACGCACUAAACGAUGUCAACUGGUUGUUGGGUCUUCAUUGACUCAGUAACGAAGCUAACGCGUGAAGUUGACCGCCUGGGGAGUACGGCCGCAAGGUUAAAACUCAAAGGAAUUGACGGGG
rnacentral:rRNA from 1 species